ensembl:misc_RNA Metazoa_SRP Metazoan signal recognition particle RNA
GCCGGGCGCAAUGGCGCGUGCCUGUAGUCCCAGCUACUAGGGAGGCUGAGGCUGGAGGAUCACUUGAGUCCAGGAGUUCUGGGCUGUAGUGCGCUAUGCCAAUUGGGUGUCUGCACUAAGUUCGGCAUCAAUAUGGUGACCUCCCAGAAGCGAGGGACCAUUAGGUUGCCUAAGGAGGGGUGAAUUGGCCCAGGUUGGAAACGGAGCAGGUCAAAACUCCCGUGCUGAUCAGUAGUGGGAUCGCACCUGUGAAUAGCCACUGCACUCCAGCCUGGGCAACAUAGCAAGGCCCUGAGUCUU